rnacentral:rRNA from 1 species
GACGUAGGGCGCGAGCGUUGUCCGGAUUUAUUGGGCGUAAAGAGCUCGUAGGCGGCUUGUUGCGUCGACCGUGAAAACUUGGGGCUUAACCCUAAGCUUGCGGUUGAUACGGACAGACUAGAGGUAGGUAGGGGAGAAUGGAAUUCCCGGUGUAGCGGUGAAAUGCGCAGAUAUCGGGAGGAACACCGGUGGCGAAGGCGGUUCUCUGGGCCUUACCUGACGCUGAGGAGCGAAAGCGUGGGGAGCGAACAGG